CACCGUCCAGGAGUUGUGAACACGCCAGCUUCACACAGAGGACCUGUCCUGGACCCCGUGGCCCCAACCUAUAAAUUACAUACUCUCGGGCUGAUUGCCCUCUGGGGCUAUUCCCAGCGGGCACAUCCCUUCAUUAAUGGCAGAGAGAACAAUUCUUUCAGGACAGGAUUUCCUGAGUGUCAUCUGACCAUCACUGGGCGUGCAGGGUUACGGGAAAGGUACCACUUGGCUAAGGAAAAUGUGAAUGCCAGACCACAAAUGGUUGGUCCAGAGCACUUUGAGUCUGCACAAAUUAGUGAUCCCAUUAGCAUUAAAAGGAGGCUAAUCUCAGAGGGAAAAAAAAAAAAAAGGAAUAAACUGAUACAUGCAAUGACAUGGAUAGAUCUUAAAAGCCUUAUGCUAAGUGAAAGCAUUAUGCCAGAUUCAAAAGACCACAUACUAUAGGCUUGAUUUUAUGACAUCCCAAAAAAGACAAAACUAUAGGGACAGAAAUCAGAUCAGUGGUCUCCAAAAGUGGGAAAAGGGAUUGCCCACAAAGAAACAUGAAAGAGAUUUUUCAGAUAAUGGAAAUCUUUUCUAUCUUGAUUGUGGUGUUAAACUACUAUAUAAAUUUGUCAAAAUUUAUUGAACUGUACACAUAAAAAAGUCACUUUUUAUUAAGUAUAAAUCAUAUUUGAAUAAGCAAAAAAAAAAAAAGAUUUUGCUUACAAAGGCCAAAGCCAGUAUAUAUGACAACUCUACCACUAUUUCUCCCUGAGACCUUGAGCAUAUUCUGAAACUCCUUAUAAAGGUCUAGAAUUACAUCAAUUCACUUUAAAAUUGUACCCCAAAGUAGCCUAGACCUGGAAAGCCAUUUCAGUAGAGACUAGUUAAUUAAAAAAAAAAAAAAAAAAAAAAAAAAAAAACUCCAGGUGUGCCAGAAAGUUCCUGGAAUAAUCUUAGCAUUUGUUUUGGCCAAAAUCUGUUUCCCAUGGUCAGCAACAACAUGUGGAGCUGGACUUUGCCAGAAAAUAUUCCUCUGGCUGCUUUCUCUUUGCACAGCAUUCAGAACGUUGUGUGCCUUUAGAGAAGGGCUAGUUAACAUAAAAAUGCGAUCAAUUACACAUAACAGCAGUUAUAUUUCAGCAUAAAAACUUUUAGAAAAUGUUCAUCUUACAAAAUCCCUUUAUUUUUUAAAGAUUUUAUUUGAGGGAUCCCUGGGUGGCGCAGCGGUUUAGCGCCUGCCUUUGGCCCAGGGCGCGAUCCUGGAGACCCGGGAUCGAAUCCCACGUCAGGCUCCCAGUGCAUGGAGCCUGCUUCUCCCUCUGCCUGUGUCUCUGCCUCUCUCUCUCUCUCUGUGACUAUCAUAAAUAAAUUUAAAAAAAAAAAAAAAAAAAAAAAAAAGAUUUUAUUUGAGAGAGAGAGAGAGAGAAUGAGCAAGAGAGGGGCAGAGGCAGAGGAGAAGCAGCCUCCCUGCUGAGCAGGAAGCCCAAUGUUGGGCUCCCUCCCAGGACCCGGGAUCGAGACCUGAGCAGACGGUAGAUGCUUAACCCACUGAGCCACCCAGGUGUCCCCCCCCCAAUUUUUUUACAUGGGAAUAUCUUGCAUAGAAAAAAUUGGGACGUCUGGGUGGCUCAGGGCUUGGGUGCCUGCCUCUGGCUCAGGUCAUGAUCCCAGGGUCCUGGGAUCGAGUCCCCCAUCGGGCUCCCUGCGGGGAGCCUGCUUCUCCCUCUGCCUGUGUCUCUCAUGAAUAAAGAAAUAAAAUCUUAAAAAGAAAAACAUUAUUUUAUCCUCUUUAUACCUCUUCAAUGAUAUCAAUAAUUUACUUAAGAAAGUAAAAUAUAAAACAUUAAAUAUUUUCUUUUUUUAAGAUUUAUUUAUUUAUUUGGGGAGAGGGGCAGAGAGAGAGGGAGGGAGGAAGAGAGAGUCUGAAGCAGACUCCAUGCUGGCCGCAGAGCCCGAUGCAGGGCUCCAUCUCACCACCCUGAGAUCAUGAUCUGUGCGGAAACCAAGAGUUGGCUGCUUCACUGACUGCAGCACCCCGGUGCCCCCCUAAUGUUUUCUCACAGUGGUUAAGCCUGUUCCCUAAUGCUGUUAAAAGAGACACUUUAGCUUCCCAUUUUUGGCUUAGAUGAUACUUCUGAAUUAACAACUGAAAUUAUAUUGGAUUAAAAAAAAAAGAAAUUAUAUUGGAUAAAAUUCUAAACAUAUUUCUAUUUUUUUUUCUAAACAUAUUUCUAAAUGCAUAUUAGCCAUUAGUCUAAUGCUUAAAUGAAACGGUGUUGGCACAAUGAGAAUUGAACAGAACAGUCACUAAAACUAGGUAACAGGGACUAAAAAGCUUAUAAAUGACUUUCCUACAUCAUUAUCCCCUUUGGCCUUGUUCACAUGGUUCUUUACAGUCACUAACUAAAUAUACUAAAUAAACAUACAUAACAAAUAUGAAUAAAAUCUGAGAAAUUUGAUCUUUUUCUAUGAUUUAAAAAAUCCAGAUAUUUAAAACCACAUAGACUAAGCAUUCAAACAUUUGAAUAUCCCUUCUUCACGUUACCUAAAUGUUUUGACUUUUUAGAGCAGGAAAAUUAGGAGGAAGAAAUAAUGGGACUAAAAUGAACCAAGCAGAAAUUUUUCCUUUGGGUAGAUUUUGAGAAACAGCUGAUAGGCAUUUGAAUGAAUAUUUGUACUUUUCAAAACAGUGGACAAUCUCCAAUAUCCAUUCUAAAAUUUGAAUAGUGAUUUCCUACUACCUUGCCUCCAAUCUUCCAAUGUGGUUAAUCUUGAGAGGUCAUUCGGAGAUCAAGAGUCCUCUGUUUGUGUAGCUGUAAAAUGUACAGCAACUCCCACCAAAUUUCCCAAGCUUGCUUCGGUGGGAUGCAUGUUUCCUGGUUGCAGAAUCGAACAUAAUACCCUUAUAAACACAGCAGUUCUGCUGAGUAACCAAACUUAACCUCUCAAAACAAAGCAUUUCUAUUAAAAUAACUUGUUUGGCACAUCAUUAGGGUUGUACUAUUAUUAGUUCCAGGCAAACAGAUGUCUUCCUGGAUGAAAUCCAAGCCAGGCAUCUUUUCCUUCUUUCUUUCUUUCUUUUUUUUUUUUUUUUUUUUUUUUUUGGCAAGUUGGUGAUAUGCUAAAUUAUACUUUUUCUAGCUCAAUAAGCUUUUAGCAUUAGGAAGAGCUACAAUCUUGCAAUUCCAUUUGACUUGAAUUUUUAAUCUAUUUUAUAGUACAUAUUAUAGCAAUUUGAUUCCUUACAAAAGCAAGAUAGUCAAUUCCAUGUUUUCUAAAAAUGUAGAUAUACUGGUCAAUGACAUAAAAACAUCCAAGACCAAAAUACUUGUAAUGUUAAGAGUAUCAACAAUAUCCAUUCUUUUACAAAAGAAAAAUAUGUGUUAAUAUUAUUACUGAAAUAUCCAUAGUAAAAAAAAUAAAUAAAUAAAAAUAAAAAAUAAAAAAAAAGAAAAUAUCCAUAGUAAUGUUAAAUAUCAAAGCAUCCUUCAAUAGCACCACCAUCUGAAAGGGACUUUAAAAUGUACUAAACACUUAUACCAGAAUUCUUUCUUUUACUAUAAAAAAUGAAAAUUCCCUUUUUUCUUUUCCCAUUUAAGUACAUGUUUUAGCAAUGUUUGCAUAGUAAAAGUAAUUUAAAAAUUUAAGAACCAUUGCAGAGACAACUACUUUUCCCAUUAUACAUUUUCACCUUCUUCCUUAUGGUAAUAGAGUGCCCGGAACACCUUGUUACCCAGGUAGAUCCCAUAAUUACCAGCUUCCCCUAACACCACAAAUGGUCCUAUGCCUGUGUUCUGGCCAAGGGGACAUGAUCAGAAGUGAUGAGUGGUGCUUCUGGAUCAUUUCUUUAAAUAGAAGUUGCAAAUAAAUAAAUAAAUAAAUAAAUAGAAGUUGCUCUCUCUUUUCUUUUCUUCUUCAAUAUCCCCUUGCCCCCUUCCUGGGGACUGCUACCAAUGAGCUAGCGUUGGCAGUUGGGAAUAAGAAUCAACAAAAUAGAAGGAACCUCAAAUUCUGACUGACCUUAAAAGCCACCAUAUAUUUAAUUAUUUAUUAUAGCUGUUUAGCCUAUUUGGUGCAUCAGUUUUUAUGAUGUGGUUGGUUAAUCAGCACAAUAUAAAAUGCAAAAAGAUUUCAGAUGUCACAUCAUCGUGUCUGGUGACAUUCUGGGGGGGAUUUUCCAUCCGCAUGGUUCAGGAAAGGAACACCUCUUCACGGAUCUUUUCUACAGAGACACAAAAACUCAAGAUCUGAUCACGCAGAGUACGGCACUGUGCUAACCAUCGAGAAGGCUUCAUGACUGGAUACGUGGCCUGUGUCAGGCCCAUAAAAUCCUCCCCAGCUUUUUUUGUUAAAACUAUCAGCAGAAAGAUCCAUCUUCUCCUUCAGAGUUUAAAACACUAAGUACUAAGCAAGUUUGGAUUAUUGAUGUGCUCUUGGCCACCCAAGUGGGAAAAUCUGCUUAGAAAUAAAUGCAACAGUAAGAAAACAAAGCCAAGAGCAGAAGAAAGAGGGGGAAUCUUGAUGAUAUUAUUUAAGUUCCUGCAUCCGGCUGUGCUAAAGCCACAUGCCUUCUGGGCCUCCCACUUUUCUGGGCCAAUAAAUUCCCACUGAUCAUUAAAACUAAUUAAAGUUGGAUUUUUAUAAUUUGCAGUUAAAUAACUCUAGUCAUAGCUGUUAAUUGUAGUCAUUUUAAUUGACAGAAAAUAUCAAGACUUUUAAUCUAAAAGUAGUUCUUAACUUCAAACUCAUCCCCAC
rnacentral:lncRNA from 1 species